rnacentral:rRNA from 1 species
AUUGAACGCUGGCGGCAGGCCUAACACAUGCAAGUCGAGCGGAUGAAGGGAGCUUGCUCCUGGAUUCAGCGGCGGACGGGUGAGUAAUGCCUAGGAAUCUGCCUGGUAGUGGGGGAUAACGUCCGGAAACGGGCGCUAAUACCGCAUACGUCCUGAGGGAGAAAGUGGGGGAUCUUCGGACCUCACGCUAUCAGAUGAGCCUAGGUCGGAUUAGCUAGUUGGUGGGGUAAAGGCCUACCAAGGCGACGAUCCGUAACUGGUCUGAGAGGAUGAUCAGUCACACUGGAACGGAGACACGGUCCAGACUCCUAAGGGAGGCAGCAGUGGGGAAUAUUGGACAAUGGGCGAAAGCAUGAUCCAGCCAUGCGGCGUGUGUGAAGAAGGUGUUCGGAUUGUAAAGCACUUUAAGUUGGGAGGAAGGGCAGUAAGUUAAUACCUUGCUGUUUUGACGUUACCAACAGAAUAAGCACCGGCUAACUUCGUG